rnacentral:tmRNA from 1 species
GGGGUCGACUGGUUUUGACAGCAGGUCCGGUUGAAUUGUAAGCAGAUCGAGCGCUGGGUUAUCGCUCGUUAAUAAAAUGAUACCAAACCUUAAAUGGCGAAAAUAAAUACGCUCUUGCAGCUUAAUAACUGAAUUAUAGUAAGUUAAAGCCUUUGUCCCGCCAGGCGGGAAAGUGAGAUGUCUCAGAAUAGCCCUUGUUGACGGCGAUUCAUGUUGAGACACCAUCAAAGUCAACAUAGAAAUUCUAGAACUUCGAUAGAAUUUUAAAACUAAAGAAGAUAAGUUUUAUUUAGGCAGUUUUCAGUCAGAAUAUUAUCGAAAAUUAAAUGAAAACUAAAUCUGUAGAAAGCUUUUUUAUCGCUUGUUUGGACGAGGGUUCGAUUCCCUCCGACUCCACUA